UAUUUUUCUUCAUUUAAUUAAAUUCCUUUUAUCUCCUGAGCCGUCGCCGCCAGCCUCACACUCUGAGUUCUUAUUAGGCAUUCCUCCGAUCUCCAUCGACUCAGCUCCGUCCAUAACAAGAAGAUGAUAAACGAGGCAGAAGAAGAAGCAAUGUCUCUUUAUAUCAUGACGCAAUAUGAGGACGGCCCGCACUUUGGAUCGUCGUAUGAAUUUAAUUUAUGUAAGCAAGACUCCUUUCGACCUUUAGCACAGUUCAGGGAUGAGGAUGUUAGCCUUCCGUUAAGUUGGAAAUUUUGCUCCUUGGAUACCAACAACAUAUGUCUAUUGCCAGAUAGUUGUCCACCUCCUGAUGAUGUGUUGAACCCCUUGUCUGGAUAUAUGUUCAAUCUUGAUACCAAGAAAUGUCAUUUAAUCAAGCCGCCCGUUGCUCCCAAAUGGGACGGACCUGUUGUAUCUGCAUGUGGGAAACUUUACUCUAUUACGGAUCCAUACUGCUCAUUUGAUGUGCCAGAGCCCUCUUUCGAGCGAUAUGAUCCUUACAGGUGUCGUUGGGAAACUCGGAAAUCUUUUCCUUAUGGUAAACAUUGCUCCAAACAAAGGAUUGGGGGUCAUGCCGUUUGUGAUGGACUCAUCCUGUAUAAUAUAAUCUCUUCUGUUGGACUCAUUCUGGAGGAUAAUCCAUUCUCUUUCUCUAGAAAAUAUCAAGAUGAACUGUGGGCUUAUGAUGUAACACUGGAUGAAUGGCUUCCAGUUAGGGUCGAGAACACAGAUUGCUAUAGUUUCCGAGGACCGGCUGUAUGUGCGGACAAGACUAUCUAUGCGCUAUCAAGCAGCUUGGCUGUUAUGGCACUCUCUAUCACAAGGCAUGAAAAUCUUGUUACCUGCUCUCUAAAGUCACAGUUUGUUUGUCCAGAGUUUGAGGACUUUCGACCAGGCGCACGAAGAAUGGAGCGUUUGAUUUAUUUGGGUGACCUGAACUUUUGUCUUGUUCAGACUGGGUUUCAGUAUGACAUUAGAUCCAGUCAAUCUCUUAAAAUUACCACAUUUCACCUUGUGGGAGAAACCAAUAUCAAAAUCGAACGUUCAUUCGUUUAUGAGGUGCCUCUUGAGGGUUGUAUGAGAUUCACAAUUGGACAUUGCUUUAUCUAAAGAGGUGGCUAGUCGCAUCUGUUAGCGUGAGGAAAACACGGAAACCACAAAACAUGGAAAAGUAAAAGCAACCUGUUUUGUGGAUCUGUCUAUUACCUCCACUGUUAGAAUAGUGUGCACCAUGUAUAUAAUUACCUCUUCUGAAGCAGGCAGCCUUCAUCUUUCCAGAUCGGUGUCACUCCAAAAGACGUCGUCCUUCAUCUGUCCCAAAGAUCGGACUCAUCAUCUGUCACCAGACCAGCCCACCCCAACUCACGACCAGACUAGCUUCAGCAUCCCUCCAGAUCGGCCUCCACUAGAUCGAUCAUUUCUGCCCAGUUGGAUUGCCUGCUACACAGAUCCCACCACCGUCGCCGAACAGCCAAAUCGAUCUUCCGGAUUGAUCAUUCUUCACCGUCAGCUUGUCCAGUUCGUCUUUUUCUUGGACUUCACCACCGUCAUCUUCGGGUCGCGUCACUUCAUCUCAGUCGCACAACCCGUCUUCUGCAACAGAUCCGGCAUCAGACUAGAUCACCGUCGGGUUUGUCGUUGCCUAGACCCGUCAUUCACUUCCUCAACUCAGGCCGACGUUGUUCCUUGGUUUCUUGAGAGAGAAAGAAAGAGGAGAAGAAAAGAAGAGGACGCAGGGUGUGGGACGAAGCAAAAGCCAUAAGCAACAAGUUUAUACCGGUAUUUGCACGCGGCUGCUGCACCUCCUUAGCACUAGAGCACGCCUGCUGCACUUCCAGACCACCCUGCACUUCCAGCACAAAAGAAACAGAAAAGAUGCACUUGUCUUGUACCCACAGUCAAGUGAACCCCUUUUAGUCAUUCUUUAUCCUUUCUCCAUCCAAUACCACGUGACAACCCACUUUCCACCUCCAUUUUUUAAUACCCACACAUCCCUUUUCUUUUACCACCAGAUCAUCCCUACACUUCCUUUUUAUUUUAUAACCCACUUUCCACCUCCAUUUUUUUUUAAUACCCACACAACCCUUUUCUUUUACCACCAUCCCUACACUUCCUUUUUAUUUUAUUUUCUUGUCCACUUUUGCUUUAUCUCAAAUUGGAGCAAAAAAGAUGGUAGCAAUUCCACACAAAAAAAAAAAAAAUCUAUUAUUAUUGCACGAUC